GCUCAGGACGAACGCUGGCGGCGUGCCUAAUACAUGCAAGUCGAGCGGACAGAUGGGAGCUUGCUCCCUGAUGUUAGCGGCGGGCGGGGGGGGACGGGUUAGUGUCACCUGCCWGUMAGCCUGUGAGAUUGGKAUAMCUCCGGGAAMCGGGGGCUAAUMCSGRAKGGUUGUUURAMCCGCAUGGUUCAAACAUAAAAGGUGGCUUCGGCUACCACUUACAGAUGGACCCGCGGCGCAUUAGCUAGUUGGUGAGGUAACGGCUCACCAAGGCAACGAUGCGUAGCCGACCUGAGAGGGUGAUCGGCCACACUGGGACUGAGACACGGCCCAGACUCCUACGGGAGGCAGCAGUAGGGAAUCUUCCGCAAUGGACGAAAGUCUGACGGAGCAACGCCGCGUGAGUGAUGAAGGUUUUCGGAUCGUAAAGCUCUGUUGUUAGGGAAGAACAAGUACCGUUCGAAUAGGGCGGUAC
rnacentral:rRNA from 1 species